ACGUUCCUUUGACCAGGGGCGUUGGACUGGGGGGGUAAAGGGUACCGAGUACCCAGGGCCCGAGGCGGGGGGCCUUAGAAGUCAGUUUUCUAUACAUACAUGUACAUGCACUAACAUUUAUAUAGCAUUUAUGUACAAAUGAAAAACUAAACUUGUAGUUAACUGUUAGGCACUGGUUUGGUAUAAAAAAAGUCAUUUUCAUGCUGUGCAGGGCCCCACCACCCCUCUCGAAUCAAUGUAAAUGGUACGACCCGCAGGUCAGGUGCUUCUGCUGCGGACCUGCGGUGAAUCAGUUAAUGAGACAGGAGCUGGAGUUAGCCGUGAUAUGAACUAGGAAGACAGGGGAAGAGUCAUGUCUUUCCUUAAGAAAGGAAAAUCAGGGACUCAAAAACAAAAAGAAAAGAAGAUUAAAGAGAGAAAGGCAGAUAAGGGCAAGCAGUUGCUCACUCAGUUUUUUGAAAAGAAAGGUUUUGAAAGCAUGGGCCGACUGCUCCAAAGCAACUUGGUAGCCUACAUCUUAUCUGGACCCUACAUACUACAGAACAUACAACAUACUAAGUGUGAUAAAGACUUAACAGUGUAACAGGUGUUGAAUUAAAAGAAUGGCUAAACUAUC